rnacentral:rRNA from 1 species
UACGUAGGGUGCAAGCGUUGUCCGGAAUUAUUGGGCGAAAGGGCUCGUAGGCGGUCCAUCGCGUCGGGAGUGAAAAGCUGGGGCUUAACCCCAGUCCUGCUUCCGAUACGGGUGGACUAGAGGUAGGUAGGGGAGAUCGGAAUUCCUGGUGUAGCGGUGAAAUGCGUAGAUAUCAGGAGGAACACCGGUGGCGAAGGCGGCUUUCUGGGACAGAUACCGACGCUGAGGCACGAAAAGCUAGGGGGAGCAAAACAGG